AACAUGUCCCGCUUGCCAGUCAGUGCAAGCAAGAGGGUCCUUCUGACGAGCAGCAGCAGCUCAGACAAUGGACAAGACUUUGCUCCCGCUCAGGAAGAAGAUCCGCAAGGACCCCGAGCCUGUCAAACAACAUGCAGCAGCUACGGUCAUCAGCGGCAGGCGGCCUCCGGUUGCAGCAACCAGGGCUCCGAUUUGUGAGUCAGCUGACUUUUACAGUCUUUGGUUUUCUGUAAUGUUUGAAUGCACCAAGACUGUAUGAGAUAAUCAAGGUUAGGUAGAUCAAGGCUGCUUUCUCUGUUUGUCUAUGUCUGUUUUGUGUUUGGUAUCGUUCCUGAACAAAACCUGUUCCGGUUGCUGGGCAACAAGUACAAGGCGGGAAGUCCAGGAUCGCCGAUGCCCGCUCCCACCUGUUCCAAAUCAGCAAUCACCACAUCUGGUCCUGAUCAUCGUCUACAACACUACUUAAGCCGAGACCUGACAUCCAUGCUACCGGAUUGUUAUCCAUAAUCUAUAUGUUGUGCUAGUUAUUCAAGAAUAAUAGUGUCCUGCCUGCGUCCACUGGUUUCCAUGUUCUGUUAUUUGACAACAGCAAUGUGAUAUCCAUUAUCAAUCAAAUGCAUUGAUAACUGUGUCCCAAAACCCUCACACUGGCAAAGGAAAAAACCCAGAGGAGAGUGGUGAACACACUGCAAUGAAUGUCAUCUGGACAGAAUGAACAUCAUAAAAGAUGUACAGUAUGUUAAAUGCAUAUCAUAUAAAUGAUUAAAAUGAAAGUAGUAAGCCACAUAAUAAUUUAAGAUCUAUUCUAAUAAUAACAGCUGGACGUAGUAGAAUAACAGAAACAAAGACUAAGAAACAUAGUCAGUAAUGUGGGUCUAAGAUGACAGAAAUACCAGUGUGACUUGUGAUAAUAAUGAUUGCAGCACCAGGUGUCAGCAGGAGGCCGGACCAGGGUUAAUUAAUGUGAAUUCUUAUAGAAGGAGAAAGAGGGAGGAGCUCAGUGUGUCCUAAGAAAUCCUCCGGCAGUCUCGCCCUCUUGCAACUUAUCCGAGGGCUAGAUCAGGCAGACACCCAUUUACGCCUGGUUCCUCCAUAUUAGGUACUGGCAUUCUAUCAGCGUGCAAAACACCAUCCUCAUCAUCAACUGUUUGGAGGAGCUUCCACAAUUGCCACAACAAAACUUUCACUAACAGGUACCCUAUGCUGCUGCUGCAAUGUGUGUGAUUCACUAACAUUUACACAGCAACUAAACAAAAUGGGACAUCUCUCAGAAUUCAUAGCAACUUGUAAAUCGGCUUAAUUAAUGAAAUUGCACUUUCUUGUUUCUUGUUCUUCUGAGUUUGUGUCCUUAUGGUUGAAAUGCACUUAUUGUAAGUCGCUUUAGAUAAAAGCGUCAGCUAAAUUACAUGUAAUGUAAUGUAAUGUGACGCGAGACAAUCCUUUAACAUUGGCUCUUUGUUUCAAACAGGACAUUUGAAAUGUCAGUGUCCUGCAUCUCCUUAGGGAAUGCUUUAUGGUUGAGGGGGGUUGCAGUAGAUGACAGACUAUGCUCAGGAAACCAUUCGGCAGGGAGUGGUUCCUGAACCCUUCACCAUAUCCUGUCCUGCACUCCGACGACUGUACUGUCUAAAGACUUCACAGCUCACACUGACGGGGAAACAGAAUACCAGUUCACACAGUGAUCAAUCAGGGGGUAAACACACAACACACAACACACAUCUGUCAUUCUGAGUACACACUCUGCAGAGGGAUGGUUGAAAGCAAAGUCGUUCCUCAGCUGUAAAAAAGCGAGAGUUCACACAUUGGAAAUACAAAACCAGGAAUGUAUGUUAUCGGCACACCCUGCAAAUCCUGUUGAUAUCUUGAUAUAUUUUAAUCAAAUACAUUAUGGCUUAAUUGUAUUUGAAUGUCAGGAGCCCUUGCUCCACAUUCCUUUUGUUUAAUGCGCCACAUGCUCUAGUUUACAUUGUAUAAUAGCUUCAAUGUUGUAUUGCAAAACAUACUGGCAGGCCCUGGGACAGGGGGAAUCCACUUGUUGUGGGUUUCUUAAAGCUGAUGCCACAACUCAAACAGUCCCGGUGUAAUGAGCUUCUUUUUGGUAGAUUCCUUUUAGUUUUGCUGUUUUCAGUCAUUUGUAGUGCUAAAAUGUUUGUUUUUAUCCCCACUUCAAUUUGCUAUCUUCUAUACCAGCUCAAUUGUUAAUAUUGCACAUCUUACAGUACGAUUUACCUGUGUAUACAGUGUAUGGUUUUUGUGCUUACACACACACAAUACAAGCCUGUACGUAUGCAGGAUCAGUGACAUAAAACCGAAUCAAAGUGGUUAGUAUUUGGACAAUUAGCCGUGGUAUCUUUUUAGUGGUCUGAAAAAUUUGGAGAGCCCUUAGAGAACCGAUGCUCUGAGCUAUAUAAACACAGAUUAUCGAGCAUCUCCAACAGGACAGUUUCCCGGAGCACUUGUCAAAGAUGUUCUCAGCUGGUCCUGUUGAUCUCACACUAAUCCAUUGUUUAUUUACUGCGCAGCAUUUGAGUCCAGGCCAACCAGCCAGGUUAAUAUGAAGUCUUCUCUGGCACUGUAGCAUAUUUAUCAUCCCCCCACCCAAUGGCCAUGGGAAGAGGGAGAGGCUUAACCUGGCAUGGCACCCAGCCCUGCGUGAUCUUUUGCAGGGCAUUGAACCAACUGUGUUGAUUCAGUCAAUAAGAAUUUCUACUUUUGCACCCAUUAUUUCAGUGUUACUAAUCCAGCCUGGAAGUAUAAUAAGGAAAAUAUAUGAAUACCUCAAUAAUAAAGGUUUCUUACACACUACACUGUGAAUGUUAUGCAUAGCUUCAACGGACUCAUUACAAAAAGAUAUACAUAGAUAAGGGAACAUGACUAAGUAGGUAAAGGCAAAUAAUAGAUCAGCUAAAAAUGUCUAAUGUCAAGUGAUCAAGAUCCCAAAGUGGAAGACGUUAUGUAUGGAGUCUCACAUCACAACUGUGAUGUUAAUACAUUGAUAUAUAGGUAGUAAAAAUCAUUUGGAUACUUUUUUAUUUAUAUAAUCUUCAUAUAUCAUAUAUUUUGAAGCUGUCUAUUUUCUCAUAAAGCAACGGUUUGUGUGUUUA